CCAAUGCUUGAUAUAACUCCUCUGGCCCACCUGAUAAUAUUGACUGAUGCAAAGAGAGCAAUGCACAGCUAAGACUAUCUACAACUGCACUAACCUGAAAAAUAUUGCUAAGGAAUGAGCUAGCGACUCAAUAAGCAUUUAAUUUACUAAACUAUAGUAUAUUAUGCUAGAAUUAUCAAGUCUUUAUCAAAUACAGAAAAUUAUACCAACAUUUAACUAACAAUCACAAAAUCAACCAUUUCAAUUAUUCUUAUAAACAAAUAAUUUCAUCUCACAUAAUGCAAAUAAUCUCAAACUCAACCAAGUCAAAUAAUUCAAUUCCACAUUAUUUCUAUCAAAUUAGGAUCAGAUGACUCAUCCUCACAUUUCCUCACAUUUUCAAAUUUCAGUAACCACUUGAUAAGACUAUCCGCCCAGCUCAGUCUUGCCAUCUCACAUACUCGCGUAGCUAUCCGCCCGGCUCAGCUUUCCCGAUCACACAAUAUCCAUUCAAGAGUCAUCAAUCCUUAAUCACAAUCAAUUCACUUCACAACACAUCACAAUCAAUUCACUUUACAACAAGCCAAAAACAUAACCAAUAUCAACUCAGUCAACCAAGAAAUUAUUAAGUAAUCAAACAGCAGUUCCUACUCAAUAUACACAAACUUGAUAAGACUAUCCGCCCAGCUCAGUCUUGCCAUCUCACAUACUCGCGUAGCUAUCCGCCCGGCUCAGCUUUCCCGAUCACACAAUAUCCAUUCAAGAGUCAUCAAUCCUUAAUCACAAUCAAUUCACUUCACAACACAUCACAAUCAAUUCACUUUACAACAAGCCAAAAACAUAACCAAUAUCAACUCAGUCAACCAAGAAAUUAUUAAGUAAUCAAACAGCAGUUCCUACUCAAUAUACACAAAGUCUAGUCUAUUAAAUGCUUACCAAAAUUUAUAGGAUAAUAAAGUAAUCCUAUUCUUUUUCUCUUACCACUUCCUUGCCUUUGGAUGAACCUAUUCACAUAUUCAAUACAAAUACAAUUAAUCACAAGGCAUAAAUAUACAUAUCUUUACUAUCCAUAAAAUAUCACAUUUCAACAAAAUAACAUAUAUUCUUGAUGUUAAUAUGAUGCAUGAGAUGAAUGACUAUAAAUCAACAUAUUUAUUGAUGAAGGCAGCUUGUAGGUACUGAAUUAGAAAUUACACCAAAACUUAUGUACAAUUAAUAGAAACCAUAGCAGAAAGAAUCACUUCAAAAUCAUUGGUAUAAAAAUAAUUAUGGCAUUUUCAAUACAGCUGCUCCAAUUUCCAUUUAAAGAGAACAGUAAAACGUUUCCUAUUAAAUGACCAGUUAAAUGAAUAAAUUUUCUGAUGAAACUUUGCAGAUAUAAAGUUAACAUCCUAAAGUUUCUAUAGACACUAAUCUUACUCAAUUUGGACUUCUCUAGCUCAAAUUGUGAAACACACAAUUAGCAACAAAUUUCUGAAUCCUAAGUCCGAUUUCUGCUUAAAACAGUUUCGAGCAGGCCAUAUUAAGUUCAACAUAUCUCACGUUAUACUCAACCAAAAAUUAUGAAAUUUUACAGACAUAUACUAGAUAUAUAAAUGAACAACUUUCAUGUUUAACUCUUUGCUUGGUUCAGCCUCUAAAUGCCUCAAAAUGUCAGCAUAAAAACCAGGUCACCUGCUGAACCACAAACAGAGCAGCAGCAAUUCGAACCUUAUAAGUUCAUACUCACUCAACGAUCUGCAAAACCAUUUUACAGAGAUAUUCCUGAAACAUAUACCUACAACUUUCAUGUUUGGAAAUUUUCGAGAUUAAGCCUCUAAGGUCACGAAAUCAGAGGUGAAAAAUUCUGCCCAGAAAUUUCAGCUUCAAGAUCAUAAGUUCAAGAUCACAAGUAAUAGUAUGUUCACUCUUGAUUAAACAAUUCCAAAACACAUAACCAUCAACAAUUUCAUAUCAUUAAUCCUAAUUUACAGCAAAACCAAGAAAUUAAAAUUACUCACCUUUGUUUCCCUUGAUUAAGAAAGCCCAAAUCUUUCAAACUUAAAAGAAGAAUUAGAUUCUCACUUACUAAAAGUUUGUAGAGUUUGAUUAGGAAAUCAAGGUUUGAAGAAGAAAAGGAGAAGAAUGAGAGAGACAAAGAAGAAGAGGAAAU
rnacentral:lncRNA from 1 species